rnacentral:rRNA from 1 species
AUAUCAUUAAGCGGAGGAAAAGAAACUAACAAGGAUGCCCCUAGUAACGGCGAGUGAAGCGGGCAAAGCUCAAGUUGAAAAUCGGGGCUCCUUUGGGGUUUCGAAUUGUAGUCUAGAGACGCAGCGUCAGCAAUAGCCCCUGGUAUAAAUCUUUUGAAACAAGGUAUCAUAGAGGGUGAGAAUCCCGUCUUUGACUAGGAGCGCUAUGCGUACGACCUGUGUUCGCAGAGUCGGGUUGCUUGGGAUUGCAGCUCAAAAUGGGUGGUAAAUUUCAUCUAAAGCUAAAUAUCGACGAGAGACCGAUAGCAAACAAGUACCGUGAGGGAAAGAUGAAAAGAACUUUGAAAAGAGAGUUAAAAAGUACUUGAAAUUGUUAAGAGGGAAGCACUGGAAACCAGUCGUGCUCUGUGCCAUAUUUAUUGUCGGCUGGCCAAGAGAUGUGUUUCGCAGAUCGCAAGGCUGCGGGGUGUAUCUGGAGGUUGGUUGGCGAGUUCUGUGGUAUGGAGUGAGUCAGAAUGAGUUCGCUGUGCGGGAGAAAGCUAGCUUGGACGGUAGGGCUGAGGGGGCAACUCCAAGGCCUGAAGCCGGUUAGUGCUACCGUGUGGCGGACUGA